AUUGAACGCUGGCGGCAGGCCUAACACAUGCAAGUCGAGCGAGCGGCGGACGGGUGAGUAAUGUAUGGGGACUGCCCGAUAUAGGGGGAUAACUACUGGAAACGGUGGCUAAUACCGCAUACUAUCGGAUAACCCAUAUGGGAUUGGCUAGUAGGUGGGGUAAAGGGUCACCUAGGCGACGAUCUCUAGCUGGUCUGAGAGGAUGAAGAGCCACACUGGGACUGAGACACGGCCCAGACUCCUACGGAGGCAGCAGUGGGGAAUGUGGCACAAUGGGCGAAAGCCUGAAGCAGCCAGGCCGCGUGUAUGAAGAGGGACUUAGGGUUGUAAAGUACUUUCAGCGGGGAGGCGUUACCCGCAGAAGAAGCACCGGCUAACUCCGUGCCAGCAGCCGCGGUAAUAC
rnacentral:rRNA from 1 species